rnacentral:misc_RNA from 1 species
GCUGGCAUCCUGACAGUCAAGGGAGGCACUGGCGCUAUUGUUGAAUAUCAUGGGCCAGGUGUCGACGCCAUAUCUGCCACGGGCAUGGGAACAAUCUGCAACAUGGGAGCCGAAAUUGGUGCUACAACCUCAGUGUUCCCUUUCAAUGACAAUAUGUACGAUUA